rnacentral:rRNA from 1 species
UGGGGAAUUUUGGACAAUGGGGGAAACCCUGAUCCAGCCAUCCCGCGUGUGCGAUGAAGGCCUUCGGGUUGUAAAGCACUUUUGGCAGGAAAGAAACGUCAUGGGUUAAUACCCCGUGAAACUGACGGUACCUGCAGAAUAAGCACCGGCUAACUACGUGCCAGCAGCCGCGGUAAUACGUAGGGUGCAAGCGUUAAUCGGAAUUACUGGGCGUAAAGCGUGCGCAGGCGGUUCGGAAAGAAAGAUGUGAAAUCCCAGAGCUCAACUUUGGAACUGCAUUUUUAACUACCGGGCUAGAGUGUGUCAGAGGGAGGUGGAAUUCCGCGUGUAGCAGUGAAAUGCGUAGAUAUGCGGAGGAACACCGAUGGCGAAGGCAGCCUCCUGGGAUAACACUGACGCUCAUGCACGAAAGCGUGGGGAGCAAACAG